GAUGAACGCUGGCGGCGUGCCUAAUACAUGCAAGUCGAGCGAACGGACGAGAAGCUUGCUUCUCUGAUGUUAGCGGCGGACGGGUGAGUAACACGUGGAUAACCUACCUAUAAGACUGGGAUAACUUCGGGAAACCGGAGCUAAUACCGGAUAAUAUUUUGAACCGCAUGGUUCAAAAGUGAAAGACGGUCUUGCUGUCACUUAUAGAUGGAUCCGCGCUGCAUUAGCUAGUUGGUAAGGUAACGGCUUACCAAGACAACGAUGCAUAGCCGACCUGAGAGGGUGAUCGGCCACACUGGAACUGAGACACGGUCCAGACUCCUGCGGGAGGCAGCAGUAGGGAAUCUUCCGCAAUGGGCGAAAGCCUGACGGAGCAACGCCGCGUGAGUGAUGAAGGUCUUCGGAUCGUAAAACUCUGUUAUUAGGGAAGAACAUAUGUGUAAGUAACUGUGCACAUCUUGACGGUACCUAAUCAGAAAGCCACGGCUAACUACGUG
rnacentral:rRNA from 1 species